AAGGGACAGCAGCAGCCGCGGUAAUACAGAGGGUGCGAGCGUUAAUCGGAUUUACUGGGCGUAAAGCGUGCGUAGGCGGCUUUUUAAGUCGGAUGUGAAAUCCCUGAGCUUAACUUAGGAAUUGCAUUCGAUACUGGGAAGCUAGAGUAUGGGAGAGGAUGGUAGAAUUCCAGGUGUAGCGGUGAAAUGCGUAGAGAUCUGGAGGAAUACCGAUGGCGAAGGCAGCCAUCUGGCCUAAUACUGACGCUGAGGUACGAAAGCAUGGGGAGCAAACAGGAUUAGAUACCCGCGUAGUCCCUGUCUCUUAUAA
rnacentral:rRNA from 1 species